GACGAAGGGGGCUAGCGUUGUUCGGAAUUACUGGGCGUAAAGCGCGUGUAGGCGGUUGUUCAAGUCGGGUGUGAAAGCCUUGAGCUCAACUCAAGAAAUGCACUCGAUACUGGAUGACUUGAGGACCGGAGAGGAUAGUGGAAUUCCCAGUGUAGUGGUGAAAUACGUAGAGAUUGGGAAGAACACCAGUGGCGAAGGCGGCUCUCUGGUGCGUGACUGACGCUGAGACGCGAAAGCGUGGGGAGCAAACAGG
rnacentral:rRNA from 1 species